AGUGAACGCUGGCGGUAGGCCUAACACAUGCAAGUCGAACGGCAGCACAGUAAGAGCUUGCUCUUACGGGUGGCGAGUGGCGGACGGGUGAGGAAUACAUCGGAAUCUACUUUUUCGUGGGGGAUAACGUAGGGAAACUUACGCUAAUACCGCAUACGACCUACGGGUGAAAGCAGGGGAUCUUCGGACCUUGCGCGAUUGAAUGAGCCGAUAUCGGAUUAGCUAGUUGGCGGGGUAAAGGCCCACCAAGGCGACGAUCCGUAGCUGGUCUGAGAGGAUGGUCAGCCACACUGGAACUGAGACACGGUCCAGACUCCUACGGGAGGCAGCAGUGGGGAAUAUUGGACAAUGGGCGCAAGCCUGAUCCAGCCAUACCGCGUGGGUGAAGAAGGCCUUCGGGUUGUAAAGCCCUUUUGUUGGGAAAGAAAAGCAGCAGGUUAAUACCCCGCUGUUCUGACGGUACCCAAAGAAUAAGCACCGGCUAACUUCGUG
rnacentral:rRNA from 1 species